rnacentral:rRNA from 1 species
UAGUUGGGGGUGGGUGAGGCUGCGCUUUAUGGCGUAUUCGAGCCUGCCUUCGACAAGGAGGGUUAAGUCGUAACAAGGUAUCUGUAGGGGAACCUGCAGAUGGAUCACCUCCU